rnacentral:rRNA from 1 species
GAUGAACGCUGGCGGCAGGCCUAACACAUGCAAGUCGAGCGGCAGCGGGAAAGUAGCUUGCUACUUUUGCCGGCGAGCGGCGGACGGGUGAGUAAUGCCUGAGAAAUUGCCCAGUCGAGGGGGAUAACAGUUGGAAACGACUGCUAAUACCGCAUACGCCCUACGGGGGAAAGCAGGGGCCCUUCGGGCCUUGCGCGAUUGGAUAUGCCCAGGUGGGAUUAGCUAGUUGGUGAGGUAAUGGCUCACCGAGGCGACGAUCCCUAGCUGGUCUGAGAGGAUGAUCAGCCACACUGGAACUGAGACACGGUCCAGACUCCUACGGGAGGCAGCAGUGGGGAAUAUUGCACAAUGGGGGAAACCCUGAUGCAGCCAUGCCGCGUGUGUGAAGAAGGCCUUCGGGUUGUAAAGCACUUUCAGCGAGGAGGAAAGGUCAGUAGCUAAUAUCUGCUGACUGUGACGUUACUCGCAGAAGAAGCACCGGCUAACUCCGUGCCAGCAGCCGCCGUAACAC